GAUGAACGCUAGCGGCAGGCCUAACACAUGCAAGUCGAGGGCAGCACGUCUUCGGAUGGUGGCGACCGGCGCACGGGUGCGUAACGCGUAUGCAACCUACCUCUUACAGUGGGAUAGCCCAGAGAAAUUUGGAUUAAUACCGCAUAGUAUACAGAUUCAGCAUUGGGACUGUAUUAAACAUUUAUGGGUAAGAGAUGGGCAUGCGUUCUAUUAGUUAGUUGGAGUGGUAACGGCACCCCAAGACAGCGAUAGAUAGGGGCCCCUGAGGAGGGGACUCCCCGACACGUGGUACUGAGACGACGGACCAGACUCCGUACGGGAGGCAGCAGU
rnacentral:rRNA from 1 species